ACAAACUUGGUCAUUUAGAGGAAGUAAAAGUCGUAACAAGGUUUCCGUAGGUGAACCUGCGGAAGGAUCAUUGAUAAGAACAGUGCGGGCGAGCAGCUUGCUGCUUAGCCCAAGCUACAAUAUCAUUCUGUGCUCUUUCUUGCCAGGUUGCAGUGUGCUUGUGGCAUGUACUUGUAUUUGUAUUUGCUAUUUGCGUGCGGACCGGCAGAAACACAUUUAACACGUCUAAGAGAAUUGUCUGAAACUAGUAUUUAAACAACACUUAAAACUAUGAACAACGGAUCUCUAGGCUCUUGCAUCGAUGAAGAACGCAGC
rnacentral:misc_RNA from 1 species